CCCUCGAUAGCUCAGUUGGCAGAGUGGAGGACUGUAGAUGUUACAACGCUGAUCGCUGGUUCAAAUCUGGCUCGAGGGA